rnacentral:rRNA from 1 species
CGGGUGAGUAAUGCUUCGGAAUCUACCCAAUGGUGUGGAAUAACCAGCCGAAAGGUUGGCUAAUACCGCAUGAGCCCUACGGGGGAAAGCAGGGGAUCGCAAGACCUUGCGCCGAUGGAUGAGCCGAAGUCGGAUUAGCUAGUUGGUAGGGUAACGGCCUACCAAGGCGACGAUCCGUAGCUGGUCUGAGAGGACGACCAGCCACACUGGGACUGCGACACGGCCCAG